rnacentral:lncRNA from 1 species
AUUCUCCCUGAAUCUUACCAACAAAACACUCCUGAGGAGAAAGAAAGAGAGGGAGGGAGAGAAAAAGAGAGAGAGAGAAACAAAAAACCAAAGAGAGAGAAAAAAUGAAUUCAUCUAAAUCAUCUGAAACACAAUGCACAGAGAGAGGAUGCUUCUCUUCCCAAAUGUUCUUAUGGACUGUUGCUGGGAUCCCCAUCCUAUUUCUCAGUGCCUGUUUCAUCACCAGAUGUGUUGUGACAUUUCGCAUCUUUCAAACCUGUGAUGAGAAAAAGUUUCAGCUACCUGAGAAUUUCACAGAGCUCUCCUGCUACAAUUAUGGAUCAGGUAUAAUAGUCCCAAAGGUGAACAUCAAAAUUUACAAAGCAACAUUUUCUGGCUUCUAGAUUGACUUUGGGACAGGUGAGAUAUAGCUGGAUUAGGUCUUAUUUUUCAAAAGCAAAAUGUAAAAUCCUAGAAAUUUGGUGAUGCAAUUAGCAUUGGGGCAGAAAGUCUUGGGGACAUUAUAGUAAACUUUUAGAAUAAAUUUGAGGGGUAUGUCUGAACAGUAAAUCUGGAAGUGGAAGGUAUUAUUCCCAGGAGUGUACCUUUUUUUUCAUUCACCUACUUCCAAAAUGAGAUGGAGAAAAAACGUAUGGAGUAGAGAAUUUAUAAAUAUCUCACAAAUAUACUCUCUAUGCUCUUCUAUGUCAUCCUGUUGCAAGUCCUAGCAAAAUGCUACAUGACACUAAAAAAGUGACUUCCUUCUCUGAGCUAUAAUUUUCUCACCAUUAAAUUGAGAGAAGUUAGAAGAAUUAUUUAUAAUAGACCUCAAAGGCAAAAGUUCUGUAAUUCUAAGAAAUCUAACUGUAGGGACCAGCCCCACAGGGUUGGUGGGUCUCUCCCUGUGUCCAGAGACGAGAGCAUGUAGAAAUAAAGACACAAGACAAAGAGAUAAAAGAAAAGGCAGCUGGGCCCAAGGGACCACUACCACCAAUGCGCGGAGACCGGUAGUGGCUCCGAAUGUCUGGCUGCGCUGUUAUUUAUUGGAUACAAGGUGAAAGGGGCAGGGUAGAGAGUGUGAGUCAUCUCCAAUGAUAGGUAAGGUCAUGUGGGUCACGUGUCCACUGGACAGGGGGACCUUCCCUGCCUGGCAGCCGAGGCAGAGAGGGAGAGGAGACAGAGAGAAAGACAGCUUACGCUAUUAUUUCUGCAUAUCAGGGACUAUUAGUACUUUCGCUAAUUUACUACUGCUAUCUAGAAGGCAGAGCCAGGUGUACAGGAUGGAACAUGAAGGCAGACUAGGAGUGUGACCACUGAAGCACAGCAUCACAGGGAGACGGUUAGGCCUCCGGAUAACUGCGGGCAAGCCUGACUAAUGUCAGGCCCUCCACAAGAGGUGGAGGAGCAGAGUCUUCUCUAAACUCCCCCAGGGAAAGGAAGACUCCCUUUUCCUGUCUGCUAAGUAGCGGGUGUUUUCCCUUGACACUUAACGCUACCGCUAGACCACAGUCUGUCUGCCUGGCCACGGGCGUCUUCCCAGACGCUGGCGUCACCGCUAGACCAAGGAGCCCUCUGGUGGCCCUGUCCGGGCAUAACGGAAGGCUCGCACUCUUGUCUUCUGGUCACACCUCACUAUGUCCCCUCAGCUCGUAGCUCUGUACGGCCUGGUUUUUCCUUGGCUAUGAUUAUAGAGCGAGGAUUAUUAUAAUAUUGGAAUAAAAAGUAAUUGCUACAAACUAAUGAUUAAUGAUAUUCAUAUAUAAUCAUAUCUAAGAUCUAUAUCUGGUAUAACUAUUCUUGUUUUAUAUUUUAUUAUACUGGAACAGCUCGUGUCCUCUGUCUCUUGCCUCAGCGCCUGGGUGGCUUGCCGCCCACAUCUAACCCAUCUAUAUACUACAGUAUGGAGAUUUGAUUGAGGAUACAUUGUUUAGGAAUUCCUUUCCUACAAGAAACCUAAAAUGAGAGAGUUUUUUAUUGGACUGUCAGACCAGGUUGUCGAGGGUCAGUGGCAAUGGGUGGACGGCACACCUUUGACAAAGUCUCUGAGCUUCUGGGAUGUAGGGGAGCCCAACAACAUAGCUACCCUGGAGGACUGUGCCACCAUGAGAGACUCUUCAAACCCAAGGCAAAAUUGGAAUGAUGUAACCUGUUUCCUCAAUUAUUUUCGGAUUUGUGAAAUGGUAGGAAUAAAUCCUUUGAACAAAGGAAAAUCUCUUUAAGAACAGAAGGCACAACUCAAAUGUGUAAAGAAGGAAGAGCAAGAACAUGGCCACACCCACCGCCCCACACGAGAAAUUUGUGCGCUGAACUUCAAAGGACUUCAUAAGUAUUUGUUACUCUGAUAUAAA